rnacentral:rRNA from 1 species
ACGCUCGACACCUACGGAGGCAGCAGUGGGGAAUAUUGCACAAUGGGGGAAACCCUGAUGCAGCGACGCCGCGUGAAGGAAGAAGUAUCUCGGUAUGUAAACUUCUAUCAGCAGGGAAGAAAGUGACGGUACCUGACUAAGAAGCCCCGGCUAACUACGUGUCAGCAGCCGCGGUAAUCUGAGCGGGCUGGCAAGGC